rnacentral:rRNA from 1 species
AUUACUGGGCGUAAGCGCGCGCAGGCGGUUUGGUAAGUGUGAUGUGAAAUCCCCGGGCUCAACCUGGGAACUGCAUUUGAGACUGCCAGGCUAGAGUACGGUAGAGGGGGGUAGAAUUCCA